GGAGGGUGCAAGCGUUAAUCGGAAUUACUGGGCGUAAAGCGUGCGUAGGCGGUUCGUUAAGUCAGAUGUGAAAGCCCCGGGCUUAACCUGGGAACUGCAUUUGAAACUGGCGGACUAGAGUUGAGUAGAGGGGAGUGGAAUUUCAGGUGUAGCGGUGAAAUGCGUAGAUAUCUGAAGGAACAUCAGUGGCGAAGGCGACUCCCUGGACUCAAACUGACGCUGAGGUACGAAAGCGUGGGUAGCAAACAGGAUUAGAUACCCUGGUAGUCCACGCCGUAAACGAUGUCAACUAGCCGUUGGUCCUAUUUACAGGAUUAGUGGCGCAGCUAACGCAUUAAGUUGACCGCCUGGGGAGUACGGCCGCAAGGUUA
rnacentral:rRNA from 1 species